AAUGGAUAUUUCUUUACAUCAGUACUGUGCAGCCAUCAGAAAUAUAACAGAACAAAUACACUUAAUUUUCCACCAUUGGCCUUGUUCAUAGGCAUCCCUAGUGUGAAGCCUAUCAACACAGUGGAAAUAAUCAAUAGAGCAAGAUAAAGUUAGUCAUCAACAGGAUCUUGAGGAGUUUCUUCAGCCCUACGUUUGAUUGAGAUAACAGGGCACUCAGCAUGCUUCUGGCAAAAUUCGCUCACAGUUCCAACAAAAACCCUCUGGAAAGGACCAAGACCACGGCAUCCAACAACGAGGAAAUCAGGCAGGACUCGUUUCACUUCAUGGCAGAUUACUUCCUUGGGAUCACCACUCUUAAUCCAUGCUUCACAAGCAACCCCAAUCUGAUGACAUCUAUUGACAAAGUACUCCAGCAGAUGAAGUCCUCUCACCCUGUCCCUCUGUUUCAUGCUUUUAAAAUCCUCAGGAGAAGCAUAUAUGCUAUCCAUAUCAUCAAAACCAUCUUCGUCAGGGACUUGGACAUGGAGGAAGAGAAGCUUGAACCCAGCAGUGUUAGAGCGAACAAUCUUCUGAAGAGUCCAGUCGAAAGCUCCUUUGCUGCUAAUCGAAGGGUGUGGAUACCCUUUGAUUGUUGACUCGUUCACUGCAAUCAUUAUCCGAGUCGGUUCACUUUCCAUUUUGAACUUAACUCACUGAGUCGCUCUCACUUAUUCUCUAGCGCUCUCCCUGAACUCGCUGUCUUGCAAAUGCGAAAG
rnacentral:misc_RNA from 1 species